rnacentral:rRNA from 1 species
AUUGAACGCUGGCGGCAGGCCUAACACAUGCAAGUCGAACGGUAGCACAGAGAGCUUGCUCUCGGGUGACGAGUGGCGGACGGGUGAGUAACGUCUGGGAAACUGCCCGAUGGAGGGGGAUAACUACUGGAAACGGUAGCUAAUACCGCAUAACGUCGCAAGACCAAAGUGGGGGACCUUCGGGCCUCACACCAUCGGAUGUGCCCAGAUGGGAUUAGCUAGCAGGUGGGGUAAUGGCUCACCUAGGCGACGAUCCCUAGCUGGUCUGAGAGGAUGACAAGCCACACUGGAACUGAGACACGGUCGAGACUCCUACGGGAGGCAGCAGUGGGGAAUAUUGCACAAUGGGCGCAAGCCUGAUGCAGCCAUGCCGCGGGUAUGAAGAAGGCCUUCGGGUUGUAAAGUACUUUCAGCGGGGAGGAAGGCGGUGAAGUUAAUAGCUUCACCGAUUGACGUUACCCGCAGAAGAAGCACCGGCUAACUCCGUGCCAGCCGCCGCCGUAA